rnacentral:rRNA from 1 species
GCCAGCCCGCUCAGAAACUUAAAGGAAUUGACGGGGCCCGCACAAGCGUGGAGCAUGUGGUUUAAUUCGAAGCAACGCGAAGAACCUUACCAGGCCUUGACAUGCAGAGAACUUUCCAGAGAUGGAUUGGUGCCUUCGGGAACUCUGACACAGGUGCUGCGUGGCUGUCGUCAGCUCGUGUCGUGAGAUGUUGGGUUAAGUCCCGUAACGAGCGCAACCCUUGUCCUUAGUUACCAGCACGUUAUGGUGGGCACUCUAAGGAGACUGCCGGUGACAAACCGGAGGAAGGUGGGGAUGACGUCAAGUCAUCAUGGCCCUUACGGCCUGGGCUACACACGUGCUACAAUGGUCGGUACAAAGGGUUGCCAAGCCGCGAGGUGGAGCUAAUCCCAUAAAACCGAUCGUAGUCCGGAUCGCAGUCUGCAACUCGACUGCGUGAAGUCGGAAUCGCUAGUAAUCGUGAAUCAGAAUGUCACGGUGAAUACGUUCCCGGGCCUU